GACAGAGGGGGCAAGCGUUGCUCGGAAUCACUGGGCGUAAAGGGUGCGUAGGCGGUGCGGAAAGUUGGGUGUGAAAGCCCUCGGCUCAACCGAGGAAUUGCGCCCAAAACUGCCGCACUAGAGGAAGACAGAGGUACGCGGAACUUAGGGUGGAGCGGUGAAAUGCGUUGAUAUCCUAAGGAACACCGGUGGCGAAAGCGGCGUACUGGGUCUUAUCUGACGCUGAGGCACGAAAGCUAGGGGAGCGAACGGG
rnacentral:rRNA from 1 species